CAAUAGCGUAUAUUUAAGUUGUUGCAGUUAAAAAGCUCGUAGUCGGAUUUUGGCUGAGAACGAUCGGUCCGCCGUUAGGUGUGCACUGAUUGGUCUCAGCUUCCUGGUGAGGAGGUGUGCUUCACGGCCACUUAGUCACUGUGGUUACUUUGAAAAAAUUAGAGUGUUCAAAGCGGGCUUACGCUUGAAUAUAUUAGCAUGGAAUAACACCAUAGGACUCCUGUCCUAUUUCGUUGGUCUCGGGACGGGAGUAAUGAUUAAGAGGAACAGUUGGGGGCAUUCGUAUUUCAUUGUCAGAGGUGAAAUUCUUGGAUUUAUGAAAGACGAACUACUGCGAAAGCAUUUGCCAAGGAUGUUUUCAUUAA
rnacentral:rRNA from 1 species